rnacentral:lncRNA from 1 species
GACUGCCCCAGCCUGCAAGGGAAGGGGGCUUUCGGUGAGAUGCCCCUUUGGCCUCCUGGGGUAGGACCCUGCCUCCCCAUCGUGCCCCAACCUGGCUCUGUUGGAGGUGGGAGGCCCUGCACCCAAACCUGUCCUCUCCGGUCACUUCUCCUUUGGGCAUCUCAGCUUUCUCACAUCCGUAGUAGAAUCUGCUUUCAGUUGGCAGUGAGCAGGCCGUGCUGUCCACGGGGGGCGGGGAGAGAGAAAGAGGGAGAGAAUGGGGCUGGCUGACCCUCAGCCUCCUCUCCCACAUCCACGCCCCACCCUGGGCCCUCGGCGGAAGCCAGGCUGGCUCAGCCCCUGCCGACCCUGGGCCUGAAAGCCCUUCUUCUCCCUGGAAAUUCCGCAUGGGCUCUCCCACUCCUCAGUCCUUCAUUCCACAGCCUCAUUCCCGGACCGGCAGGGCCUGGCCCAGCGUGGGUGCUUGGUUAGUGGCUAUGAAACCCACGCCUUAGGCCGGGGAACCGGGAGCUGGGUGGCAGCGGCGGCCGGCCCACAGGGCAAUUUCUGGACUUUGACCUUCCCGGCUGCUUUAACUCUGGCAGCGUCGUUGGCCGGCAGAGCGGGACUCCACCCACCCAUCGCCCACUGGGCCACAGGACACUCUGAUGAAGCUCGUGCCAGCAUCCACCCCCUUUUCUGUGUCGGUUUCUUGCCUAGAGAGCCUCAGAAUGAGGCUGGAACCUAACCGGAAGCCCGGAGACUGAACCCGUUGAUGCGCGCGGUCGUGGGGCGGGAGGGGAGGGUCCCCUAAGGGACCGAGCGGGCUCCUGGCGCCCUCUAGUGGCCUAGAAGAGCACACGCACCCCGGAAUCUUCGGCCGCGCGCCCAGGCCUCCUCCCAGCCAGUGGCCCACCCCGUGAGCCUCCAGGCUCACCUUCCCAGGGUCACCUGGGCGAUGUGUCCAGGGUCACAAAGCGAGCGAUGGCAGCGACCAGUGGGGAAUGCCAGCCUGUCGUCCAGCCUGCACGCCACCGCCCAUUGGGUGCCUGGGUAUCCGGCUGUUUCUGCCUGUUGCUCUCAUCUCGACCACAGAAACCCAAGGCCAUGAAGUCAGCAAAGCAGGAAAAACACGGAGAAUAAGGCAUCUUGACCGGGGGCAGAGGACCGAGGCGGCCAGAGCUGACAUCAUGGUCAGGAGACGCCUAGUCUCAGCAGAACCGCCAACUUCAUGCGGCAUCAGCCCGCAAGCCUCAGGGCCCCAGACCCUUUAUUUUAAUUUUUUGUUUGUUUUGGCUGCGCUAGAAGCACGUGGAAGUUCCCGGGGCCAGGGAUUGAACACGUGCCACAGCAGCGACCUGCACAUGGCGCUGUCAGUGCUGGAUUCUUAACUUGCUGAGCCACGAGGCAACUCCCCAGCCCCAUGAAUCCUCCUGUUUUCUCCCCAGAAAACAAGACGGUCGUUUUCGGGACGUUAGUCUGAUUCGCUCUUCAUUCGCUGACACAUUGGACACUUCGUUCCGUUUCCUCAAAACCCUGCCUCUUUAUUCUCAUCCAGCCUGGGGGACAGGUACCGAAUUUCCAGUAUCAAAACCACUUGUCUUCACCUGCAGGAACUACUUCCUUCUCUGAAAAUGUUAUCCUCAGUGAUUUCGAACGUUCUGGGAGUUGGAACCUAUCCCACUGCAGUGAACUCCAGCGUGAAACCACACAUACGCAGCAAGAGCUGAAGUUUUGACAAACGGAGAGGUUCCUAUGAGUCAAAUAAAGUUAGCGAGAAUAGAAACUAACGAGUUGGU